rnacentral:rRNA from 1 species
UACGGAGGGUGCGAGCGUUAUCCGGAAUCACUGGGCGUAAAGGGCGCGUAGGCGGUUUGUUAAGUCCGAUGUUAAAGACCGAGGCUCAACCUCGAUACGGCGUUGGAUACUGGCAAGCUGGACGGUUGGAGAGGAAGGUAGAAUUACCAGUGUAGCGGUGGAAUGCGUAGAUACUGGUAGGAAUACCCAUUGCGAAGGCAGCCUUCUGGACAACACGUGACGCUGAGGCGCGAAAGUGUGGGGAGCAAACCGGAUUAGAAACCCCCGUAGUCC